GGGACUGCUGAUUUUGCUUUUUUCAGCAAUUACCAAGGAUAUGGGAGGCUCUGCAACAGCAUAUUCUACAAAGAAAAAGAUAAAUGAACAGAAUUCACUCUAAGAUUCACCAUGGAUGUUUACUAGUCAACUUGAUGUCCCAAACCAUCUGCCUAUCUAACACAGCUGAUCUUAAGUUCAUGCUUCACAGCUAUUGGAUGCCCCUUAACCAAGGACUUAGGGCUCAAAUAUUUGAAGAACACUGGAGUCAGGAGACCAGGAUUUCAGAUCUGACUGACACUAAC
rnacentral:lncRNA from 10 species